rnacentral:rRNA from 1 species
GCAUAUCAAUAAGCGGAGGAAAAGAAACCAACAGGGAUUGCCCUAGUAACGGCGAGUGAAGCGGCAACAGCUCAAAUUUGAAAUCUGGCUUCGGCCCGAGUUGUAAUUUGUAGAGGAUGCUUUGGGCGCGGCUCUAACUGAGUUCCCUGGAACGGGACGCCACAGAGGGUGAGAGCCCCGUAUAGUUAGAUGCCUAGCCUAUGUAAAGCUCCUUCGACGAGUCGAGUAGUUUGGGAAUGCUGCUCUAAAUGGGAGGUAAAUUUCUUCUAAAGCUAAAUAUUGGCCAGAGACCGAUAGCGCACAAGUAGAGUGAUCGAAAGAUGAAAAGCACUUUGAAAAGAGGGUUAAAUAGCACGUGAAAUUGUUGAAAGGGAAGCGCUUGUGACCAGACUUGCGCCGGGCAGAUCAUCCGGUGUUCUCACCGGUGCACUCUGCCCGGCUCAGGCCAGCAUCGGUUCUCGUGGGGGGAUAAAGGUCCCGGGAACGUAGCUCCUCCGGGAGUGUUAUAGCCCGGGGCGUAAUGCCCUCGUGGGGACCGAGGUUCGCGCAUCUGCAAGGAUGCUGGCGUAAUGGUCAUCAGCGACCCGUCUUGAAACACGGACCAAGGAGUCAAGGUUUUGCGCGAGUGUUUGGGUGUAAAACCCGCACGCGUAAUGAAAGUGAACGUAGGUGAGAGCUUCGGCGCAUCAUCGACCGAUCCUGAUGUAUUCGGAUGGAUUUGAGUAAGAGCGUUAAGCCUUGGACCCGAAAGAUGGUGAACUAUGCUUGGAUAGGGUGAAGCCAGAGGAAACUCUGGUGGAGGCUCGCAGCGGUUCUGACGUGCAAAUCGAUCGUCAAAUCUGAGCAUGGGGGCGAAAGACUAAUCGA